rnacentral:rRNA from 1 species
CACGUAGUUAGCCGUGACUUCCUCGCCGGGUACCAUCACUCAGAAAGCUUUCCACUCUUUCUGCCUUUUGUCCCCGGCAACAGAGCUUUACGAUCCGAAGACCUUCCUCGCUCACGCGGCGUUGCUCGUUCAGGGUUCCCCCCAUUGACGAAAAUUCCCUACUGCUGCCUCCCGCAGGAGUCUGGGCCGUGUCUCAGUCCCAGUGUGGCCGUCCGCCCUCUCAGGCCGGCUAUGCAUCGUCGCCUUGGUGAGCCGUUACCUCUCCAACCAGCUAAUGCACCGCAGGUCCAUCUGCAUGCGGGACUCUUGUCCCCUUUUCCAAAAAGAGAUGCCUCCUCUUUGCUCAUCCGGUAUCAGCUUCCGUUUCCAGAAGUUCUCCCGCUCAUGCAGGCAGGUUCCCUACGUGUUACUCACCCGUUCGCCACUCAUAUCCGAAGAUAUCCGUUCGACUUGCAUGUAUUAGGCAUGCCGCAGCGUUCAUCCUGAGCCAGGA